CCUACGGGUGGCAGCAGUGGGGGAUAUUGCACAAUGGGGGGAACCCUGAUGCAGCGACGCCGCGUGGGUGAAGAAGCGCCUCGGCGCGUAAAGCCCUGUCAGCAGGGAAGAAAAUGACGGUACCUGACGAAGAAGCCCCGGCUAACUACGUGCCAGCAGCCGCGGUAAUACGUAGGGGGCAAGCGUUAUCCGGAUUUACUGGGUGUAAAGGGGGCGUAGACGGCGGUGCAAGUCUGGAGUGAAAGCCCGGGGCGCAACCCCGGGACUGCUCUUGAAACUGCGUGGCUGGAGUGCAGGAGGGGCAGGCGGAAUUCCUGGUGUAGCGGUGAAAUGCGUAGAUAUCAGGAGGAACACCGGUGGCGAAGGCGGCCUGCUGGACUGCAACUGACGUUGAGGCCCGAAAGCGUGGGGAGCAAACAGGAUUAGAUACCCUUGUAGUC
rnacentral:rRNA from 1 species